AGUGGCGGACGGGUGAGUAACGCGUGAGCAACCUGCCUUUCACGAGGGGGGAUAACAGUUGGAAACGACUGCUAAUACCGCAUAACGGUAUCGGUGUCGCAUGGCACUGAUACCAAAGCUGAGGUGCUGAGAGAUGGGCUCGCGUCCGAUUAGAUAGUUGGUGGGGUAACGGCCUACCCAAGUCGACGAUCGGUAGCCGGACUGAGAGGUUGAACGGCCACAUGGGACUGAGACACGGCCCAGACUCCUACGGGAGGCAGUAGUGGGGGAUAUUGCACAAUGGGCGAAAGCCUGAAUGCAGCAACGCCGCGUGAGGGAAGACGGUUUUCGGAUUGUAAACCUCUGUCUUUGGUGAAGAAGAAAGUGACGGUAGCCAAGGAGGAAGCCACGGCUAACUACGUGCCAGCAGCCGC
rnacentral:rRNA from 1 species